rnacentral:lncRNA from 1 species
CACGGAUCACUGAUGGUGACGCAGGCCAGCAGACUCUGUCUCACCGUAGAGGAAAUUGGCGGAGCCUGGUAGCCAUGAUUUUGAGACCUUCAUAUGGAUGACGAAAUGGUUUCACUUCCAGGAGAAAGUGGAAUAUAAUUAGCCUAUACUACGGUAUCACAAUAGCCCCUUGAUGAUUUAAGUGGGCUUCCUACCAAGCCAAACUAACCCAACCCAACCAAAAGAUUUAUAAAAUUUUUUGACCAGGUCAUAAAAAGCAAAGGAGAACGCAGGAUGGAGCCUUUUAGCUGACAUGAGAGAACCGUUGAAUUACCGAGCGAUUCUGAAUACCUGAGAUGAUUCUACACUGCGCUGAGAUGUGUUGCGAAAGCAUGUCCAAUGUAUUAAUAUCGCUGAAAUGAACUGAAAAAAAAACAACGUACACAAUUGUUGGGCAAAUGAACGACGUGGAUACUCAAAUGUUCAUUCGUAAACGGGCUUCGCUUACGAAAGAAUAGCCUGCAGGCUAGCCAAGGAAGCAAAUGCUGGAAAAAUUGAAUCUUCCACGUAUUUCUUAAUAAAAUAAGUUGAUAUACUUUUUUUUUAAUAAAUAUUUUUUAUAGAAACAUACCUAACCUCUGAU